UGGGGAAUAUUGGACAAUGGGGGCAACCCUGAUCCAGCCAUGCCGCGUGUGUGAAGAAGGCCCUCGGGUUGUAAGGCACUUUCAGCGAGGAAGAACGCCUAGCGGUUAAUACCCGCUAGGAAAGACAUCACUCGCAGAAGAAGCACCGGCUAACUCCGUGCCAGCAGCCGCGGUAAUACGGAGGGUGCAAGCGUUAAUCGGAAUUACUGGGCGUAAAGCGCGCGUAGGUGGCUUGAUAAGCCGGUUGUGAAAGCCCCGGGCUCAACCUGGGAACGGCAUCCGGAACUGUCAAGCUAGAGUGCAGGAGAGGAAGGUAGAAUUCCCGGUGUAGCGGUGAAAUGCGUAGAGAUCGGGAGGAAUACCAGUGGCGAAGGCGGCCUUCUGGACUGACACUGACACUGAGGUGCGAAAGCGUGGGUAGCAAACAGGAUUAGAUACCCGAGUAGUCCCUGAGCGGGCUGGCAAGGCGCAU
rnacentral:rRNA from 1 species